UUUUUUAAAGUAGAAAAUAGAGAUAUAUAUUGGAGAGUAAGAUAUAGAGCUAUACAUUGGAGAUGGUCUAAAACUCUCCGACUUAUCAAAAGUGAAGCUAUCUGAUUCGAUGG
rnacentral:sRNA from 1 species